rnacentral:rRNA from 1 species
GACGAACGCUGGCGGCGUGCUUAACACAUGCAAGUCGAACGGAAAGGCCUCUUUCGGGGGGUACUCGAGUGGCGAACGGGUGAGUAACACGUGAGUAACCUGCCCUUUACUUUGGGAUAACUUCCGGAAACUGGGGCUAAUACCGGCUAGAAGCUCCUUCUGCAUGGUGGGGGUUGGAAAGUUUCGGCGGUUGGGGAUGGACUCGCGGCUUAUCAGGUUGUUUGUGGGGUAGUGGCUUACCAAGGCUUUGACGGGUAGCCGGCCUUGGAGGGUGACCGGCGACCAUGGGACUGAGAUAAGGCCCAGACGCCUACGGGAGGCAGCAGUGGGGAAUAUUGCACAAUGGGUGGAAGCCUGAUGCAGCAACGCCGGGUGCGGGAUGACGGCCUUCGGGUUGUAAACCGCUUUCGCUCAUGACGAAGCUUUGUGUGACGGUAGUGGGUAAAGAAGCACCGGCUAACUACGUG